rnacentral:rRNA from 1 species
UAGUAGGCGGUGGAAAAUGAACCAAAUGGGAUUCCUUAAGUAAUUGCGAAUGAACAAGGAAAUGCUCAGCUUGAAAAAUGGGGCCUUUGGCUUUGAAUUGUAAUUUUGAAAUGUAUUGCCAAUGGAGGCGCAGGUGCAAGCCUAUUGAAAGAAAGCGUCAAUGAGGGUGAAAUUCCUUUUUGUCAUUUGCAGUCCUCCGUGCACGGUAUAUAUUUGACGAGUCACACUCCUCGGCAUUGGAAUGCAAAGUGGGUGGUAAAUUCCAUGUAAAGGUAAAUAUAUUAUUGAGACUGAUAGCAAACAAGUACCAUGAGGGAAAUAUGAAAAGGACUUUGAAAAGGGAAUUAAAAGAGUCUGCAUUUGCUGAACAGAAAGCAAACAGAAUUGAUGUGCUUGGUGAGAUUGUUGUGCCCACUCUGUCAUUUAUGUCGGAUGUGGGUGCGAUGGUUCUUACCUUGAAUGUCAGCUUCUAUUUCUGCAAAUCAUUACCCUUGCACAUGAAUGGUAAUUUGCCUGCGGGUAUUGGAAUGUGUGUGUUUGCAAUGAUUUGUGAUUUGAUGCAUGUGGUUGGUGGACUUUGUAUGUGCUGUUUUGCCAACGGGGAAGGGACUCUUCCUUGAGCACUGCAAGCCCUUGCAC